rnacentral:rRNA from 1 species
AGAGUUUGAUCCUGGCUCAGAACGAACGCUGGCGGCAUGGUUAAGACAUGCAAGUCGUACGGACCGUGUAGCAAUAUGCGGUUAGUGGCGAAAGGGAGAGUAAUACAUGGGUAACGUACCCUGGACACCGGGAUAACAGCGGGGGCAACCCCUUUGCGAAAGUGCUGCUAAUACCGGAUGACGUCGCGGAAGGGCAUCCUUCGGCGACCAACGGGCGGGGAUCGCAAGACCUGCCGGUCUGGGAGCGGCCCAUGACCUAUCACCUAGUUGGCGAGGUAACGGCUCACCAAGGGGACGACGGGUAGCGGGUGUGAGAGCAUGACCCGCCUCAUCGGGACUGAGACACUGCCCGGACACCUACGGGUGGCUGCAGUAACGAAUAUUGGGCAAUGGGCGCAAGCCUGACCCAGCAAUGCCGCGUGCGGGAGGAAGUCCUUCGGGAUGUAAACCGCUUUUAGGGGUCAGCAAGCGAUGCGGGUGAACAAUCCGCAAAGUUGAGCAACCCCAGAAAAAGCCUCGACUAACUCUGUGCCAGCAGUCGCGGUAAGACAGAGGAGGCAAGCGUUGUUCGGAAUCAUUGGGCUUAAAGGGCGUGCAGGCGGCGGCGUACGUGUCGAGUGAAAUCCGGUCGCUCAACGAUCGAACGGCUCGGCAAACGGCGUCGCUUGAGGUCGGUAGAGGCGCCUGGAACUCUAGGUGGAGCGGUGAAAUGCGUAGAUAUCUAGAGGAACGCCGGAGGCGAAAGCGGGGCGCUGGGCCGAUUCUGACGCUGAGACGCGAAAGCGUGGGGAGCAACAGGAUUAGAUACCCUGGUAGUCCACGCCGUAAACGAUGCACACUAGAUGACGGAGACUCUGACGUCGCCGCCGUCGAAGCAAAAGUGAUUAGUGUGCCGCCUGGGGAGUACGGCCGCAAGGCUAAAACUCAAAGGAAUUGACGGGGGCUCACACAAGCGGUGGAGCAUGUGGCUUAAUUCGAAGCAACGCGAAGAACCUUACCUGGGUUUGACAUGCACGGAUGGCCUACGGGGAUAACUCAUAGGUUUGCCCUUCGGGGUGAAACGUGCACAGGUGUUGCACGGCUGUCGUCAGCUCGUGCUGUGAAGUGUCGGGUUAAGUCCCUUAACGAGCGAAACCCUUGCCGUUAGUUGCCAGCGGGUCAUGCCGGGGACUCUAGCGGGACUGCCGGCGUUAAGCCGGAGGAAGGCGGGGACGACGUCAAGUCAUCGUGGCCCUUAUGCCCAGGGACGCACACGUGCUACAAUGGCCGCCACAAAGGGCUGCAAGACCGUAAGGUGGAGCAAAUCCCAAAAAAGCGGCCUCAGUUCGGAUUGGAGGCUGCAAUUCGCCUCCAUGAAGUUGGAAUCGCUAGUAAUCGCGCAUCAGCUACGGCGCGGUGAAUGUGUUCCUGAGCCUUGUACACACCGCCCGUCAAGUCAUGGAAGCUGGUAGUACCCGAAGUCCCCUUAGCGAACCGCAAGGACGCGGGGGCCGACGGUAAGACCGGUGACUGGGACUAAGUCGUAA